CCAGAAGCUGAUGCCGAGACAAGACCUUGAACGCAGCAUUCACUGGGAGGUGAUUCCUGGUAUAUAGGAAGAGAGAGAGGGAAGUAAGACAGGGCAAGGAAGGAAGCCAAGAGAGGGAAGGCUAGUAAGGGAGCUACUUGUCUGGGCACGGCAGCUCAUGCCUGUAAUCCCAGCGCUUUGGGAGGCUGAAGUGGGAGGAUCGCUUGAGGCCAGGAGUUUAGCUUUA
rnacentral:lncRNA from 10 species